AUAAAUACGGCCAUUAAACUUGCACCGUUUUGUUUUCGGUGGACCACCCUGUAUAUCCGAGAACAAAUUAUUUUCCAAGGUCAUGUCAAAUUUCCUUGAAUAUUUUUACGUUUCGUUAAUGCGAAAAUUACAUCCGCAAAGUUGUUUAAACAAAAUUUAGUUGAAAUAUUUGUUUGCGAUGCCUAUUAUCGUAGAACGGCGACCCAUGGAGAUUGAGAGCUAAUUUGUAAAGGUUGAAUUGUAAAGUGUGUUGAAUAAUCAAUUAUAGUAAUUGUUUUUUCAAUAAUUUUAUUUCAUUCUGUUCUAAAGUAUGUGUACCGUGAUUUUAGCACUAAAGCUUUUCUAUCUGAUCGAUUAUUAAUUUGGAAAUAAGAAAAUGCUGAACACUUGGGACUUUAUAAGCAAAUUACUUCCAAUAUCUCAGUACUUGAAAGAUUAUAAUUUAAACAACGCGCUCUGUGAUUUGUUAGCUGGAAUUACAGUUGGACUGACGCUAAUUCCGCAAGUAAUUGCCUACGCUUCAUUAGCCGGUUUGGAGCCGCAGAUUGGCCUAUAUUCAGCAUUAUGUGGUGGAUUUAUUUAUGCGAUUUUUGGCACAAUUCCUGAACUCAAUAUUGCACCCACCGCUCUUCUAUCAUUGCUCACUUUUCAGUAUGUUCAUAAUGUAACAUUUGGAAACACCAGAGCAGCCAUUAUGCUCACCUUUUUUGCUGGAGUGGUAGAACUAAUAUGUGGCAUUUUGCAUUUGGGUAAGUUUCAAAACUUUCAUUUGAAUCAUUUAAUGAAA